AUGUCAUGAUGAAGACACUUCUAGAGAAAAUCUUUGAAUCUGUCCCAAGCCUCAUGAAAAGGCUCCUCAGGUCCUUAAGCAAAACGUGUAAUGACAUCUUGAUACU